UGAAAAUUUCCAACUGGGAUCCAACUGGGAUCAACUGGGAUGAACUGGUUCCAGCUGGAAACCAACUGGUCCCAGUUACACACCAACUGGUCCCAGUUACACACCAACUGGUCCCAGUUACACACCAACUGGUCCCAGUUGGAAAGCAACUGGGUAGCAACUGGUUCCAGUUGGGAUCCAACUGGAACAAUUUCCAGUUAUACUGGGAGUGACUGGACCCAGUUGGGAUCCAACUGGAACAUUCACCAGUUGUACUGGAAUCAACUGGUCCCAGUAGAGAGGCAACUGGAACUUUCACCAGUUGUACUGGAAUCAAAGUUCCAGUUGGAUUCCAACUGGAACUUUGACCAGUUGUAUCAGUAGCAACUGGAAGCAACUUAAACAAUGGCCAGUUGUACUGGUAGCAACUGGUUCCAGUUUGAAUCCAAAUGAAAUGGUGACCAGAAGUUUAAAUGAAAGCAAGUAACAUGCAGUGCUUGCUAAGACAGCAGCAGCUAGUCCUACUUAUACUGAGCAAUUAAGUUUGGCAGUUUUAGCAAUCCUAGCAAACAUUCUAAUAGAAGUUUGUAAUAAUUAGUCUAAUACGUUUGUAUUAAGUUUUGUAUUAGACCAAUAUCAAUUUUUAUUAGUCGUACUGAUUUACCUAUAAGAUCAAUAGGCCGUGCGUAUUAGACUUAUUAGUCUUAUACAAGCAGUGUUGCGCGUGUCUACUAGUUUCUCUAUUAGACUAAUGGGUCCUAUUGGCCUUAUGCAGAUUGUUGCUGGUUUUAUACAACAUGUACUGCUAGAUUCUGCAGCUCUUGUUUGCUGUUGAAAGUUAAUCGACAAAAAAUUAGACUAGCGGACCGCUUGCUUGCAUGGAGAGGUGUUUCUAAUUAAUCACUGAAUAAUUAAAAAUUCUGCUGUACAAUUGGACAGCAGAUUGCAUUCGCACGUUUGCAUUUGUUUCAGCGCACCAUCUCUCAGCGACAUACACAAAAGCGACGUGCGCCUACAUGGUCUUGCUUCACUGAGCCUCGUCGGGAUGAGUCGAGGAAACAGCUAGUGUUUACAGCACACGAAAAAAAAAAAAAAAGAAAGAAAGAAAAACCCGAACAACCAGCCGUCAGAUCGCGGUGCCCGGCCAGCUUUCGAACGACGGUCAAUAGCAGCAACCAUAUUUGUUUGCCGCUGAAGUUUCGUCAGUGUCGUAUUUUCUGUUGAAGUGCACAUAAAGUAGAUGUUAAACUUUUAAUGUAAAUUGCUAACUUGAUACCGCAUAUAAAAGGCCGUAAUAUUUAUUGACAUCAAAGAGCAGUAUCGCAGAGAAGGGAACAAGGCGGGCGGGAAGGACAUAAAACUGCUACCGUAAUCAGCCGUAGUUGCGCACAGCACGUGUGUAAUGGCGGCUGCCAUGUCUAGGCGAGGCGUCACGCGAGGCGUGCGUGCGUGUUAGUGAAUGAACGAUGUGUUUUUAAGGAACCCGUGGUGUUAGCGCCUGCACAAUCUGAUUCGUGCAGUAGUAUAUUUGGAUAGUUUUAUCUAUGGCUGCUGUUUUGACUUCAAAACAACGCAAGGCAACUGUUUUACCCCUGCCCUUCUCGGCUUUGUGGAUUUAUCAGCGUACAUCGAUGUGCAGUGUUCUCCCCGGCGCCGAUUCACCAUUUCGAGGUUUUUUAACCACUUCCUCAAAAGGACGUCCUUUGGUCGAAGUCAACGAAAAGCUCGCAAUCAAGAUUGCUGACCUGAUGAAGAUCUCGAAAGAUGAAUCUGUAAAAAUACAUGCUGUGCUAAUAAAUGCUUUUAGCAAUUUUA